GUAUGUCAAGUCAUGAGAUAUGGGAAAAAUUAAGCAAUAUCUAUGAGAAGGAUUCAGAACAGUAAAGAUAUUCUGUUGCAGAGGAAUUUUUUCAUGCAUAUAUCUAAAUUUGAACAUGAUAUAGUACUGCAUAUUAUGUGGUUGAUAGAUUGUCAAAGGAGCAAAGGGAAAAGCAGAUCAAAAUGAAUUUAUAAUCUUCAAAGCUCAAGAGAAGAGGUGUUUCAAGUACAACUCCAAUAGACAUCUUGCACCUGCAUGUUAGAGAAACGAUAGAGGAUUAGGAAGAAAACACAAGACUUAAGAAGUGUACUCUCCAUGCGGGACAUGUAAGAAGUCUAAUUAUUUGGAAAAAGACUGUUACUUUAAAAAUAUGAAGGAAAACAAAGGGGAUCAAGCAGAAAAGAAGAAAGUGUGCUUCUUAACAGAGAACAAUGGACAAAACAAAUGAUUUUCGGCUCAAGAACAACCAACCAGCCAUAUGGUGAACAAGCUAGAAUAUUUUAAGGAAUAAGAAGCAAUAAGAACAGAAAUUGAAUCAGCAAAGAGAAACAUUUUCAUGGAAACUAUAGCAAACGGUAGAGCUGAGUUAGAUAGCUGUAUAUUUGAAAAUGUUCUGUAUGUAUCAAACUUGAGACAGAAUUUAAUGUCAAUACAUCUGAUAACUCGAAAGGGUGGUAAGAUAAUGUUCUUAAAACAUAAUGUAAUAGUUUAUAAGAAGGAAGAAAAAAUAUUGGUAGGGAAGACGUGUGUUAAUGGAUUUUAUGGUGCAGAUGAAUUAAAAGGAAAAAUACAGGCUAGAGUAUUACUAGUAGAGAGAAACAAGAAGCUGGUAGUAGUGCAGAAAAUUGAGCCAUCUAAGUAUAGAAAACAUGAAAAAGUUGUUCAAGAAAUCAUUGGAAAUAAAAGUAAUGAAAUGAAUACGAAAGGCAAGAAUUGGAGAAUGCAGGAUACUUUUUCUAUGCAAAGUAAUUGAAGACACUGUUUUUAGAGCCAAGAACAAGGGCAAAAAGGCAGCUUGAAAUUAUACAUUCUGAUAUAUGUGGACCUAGAAAGCCAGAGACAUGUAACAGAAAUAGCAGCAGAAGCAAAGUGGAAUAACAUACAGAUUUAAAUACGAUAACGGAAAAAGGAGUUUAAC